AUUGAACGCUGGCGGCAGGCUUAACACAUGCAAGUCGAGCGGGGUGAUGGUGCUUGCACUAUCACUUAGCGGCGGACGGGUGAGUAAUGCUUAGGAAUCUGCCUAUUAGUGGGGGACAACAUCUCGAAAGGGAUGCUAAUACCGCAUACGUCCUACGGGAGAAAGCAGGGGAUCACUUGUGACCUUGCGCUAAUAGAUGAGCCUAAGUCGGAUUAGCUAGUUGGUGGGGUAAAGGCCUACCAAGGCGACGAUCUGUAGCGGGUCUGAGAGGAUGAUCCGCCACGCUGGGACUGAGACACGGCCCAGACUCCUACGGGAGGCAGCAGUGGGGAAUAUUGGACAAUGGGGGGAACCCUGAUCCAGCCAUGCCGCGUGUGUGAAGAAGGCCUUAUGGUUGUAAAGCACUUUAAGCGAGGAGGAGGCUCUUUUGGUUAAUACCUGGGGUCGAUGACGGUACCGGAAGAAUAAGGACCGGCUAACUACGUGCCAGCCGCCGCAGUAA
rnacentral:rRNA from 1 species